UGAUAAUACACUGCCUAAGAUCUUCAAGGAACCCCCCAUGAUCUGCUACAGGAGGAACAGAAAUCUUCGGGAUAUUCUGGUACACACAGAUCUGGUGGAUAGUUACACUAAGACCACAAAGAGCAAUAUACGAGGAUGCAUACAAUGCCUUGGAUGUGUCACAUGUGGACAUAUGAUUCCGUCUAAGAAAUUUACCCAUCCGCAUACC